GGCUCAGAUUGAACGCUAGCGGCAUGCUUAACACAUGCAAGUCGAACGGUAACAGGCCUAGCUUGCUAGGUGCUGACGAGUGGCGGACGGGUGAGUAACGCGUAGGAAUCUACCUUGUAGAGGGGAAUAACUUGGGGAAACUCAAGCUAAUACCGCAUACGCCCUAAGGGGGAAAGCAGGGGACCGAAAGGCCUUGUGCUAUGGGAUGAGCCUGCGUCAGAUUAGCUAGUUGGUGGGGUAAAGGCCUACCAAGGCGACGAUCUGUAGCUGGUCUGAGAGGACGACCAGCCACACUGGGACUGAGACACGGCCCAGACUCCUACGGGAGGCAGCAGUGGGGAAUAUUGGACAAUGGGCGCAAGCCUGAUCCAGCAAUGCCGCGUGUGUGAAGAAGGCCUGCGGGUUGUAAAGCACUUUCAGUGGGGAGGAAGGCCUUGGUGCGAAUAGCGCUGAGGAUUGACGUUACCCACAGAAGAAGCACCGGCUAACUCUGUG
rnacentral:rRNA from 1 species